ACAGACAGUUUUGGGUUUCGUAUAGAAGUUUAAAACCACAUACAUUUAUGUGCAAUUACUAAUGAGUAAAUCACCAUUCCAUUACAGGAACAUGCCCUUGGUGGUGAUGGCACAUCAGGAUCCAGGAUGAUGGACCAAAGCUUGUCAGCUCUAAUCACAGAGUAUGGAAAACAUGUGCAAGAAAUGAGAGAACAGCUGCAGCUUUAUCAGGCACAAAUGGGUGAGAUGAAGCUAAAAUUGGAAGAAGUCACCAAGGAAAAUGAAAGGCUGCAUGCAGAGUUGAAAGAGUCUCUUGAGAAGCAACUGGAGGCACUUCUUGCAGAUGAAGGCACAGUG
rnacentral:lncRNA from 1 species